rnacentral:rRNA from 1 species
UACGUAGGGUGCAAGCGUUAAUCGGAAUUACUGGGCGUAAAGCGUGCGCAGGCGGUUAUGCAAGACAGAUGUGAAAUCCCCGGGCUCAACCUGGGAACUGCAUUUGUGACUGCAUGGCUAGAGUACGGUAGAGGGGGAUGGAAUUCCGCGUGUAGCAGUGAAAUGCGUAGAUAUGCGGAGGAACACCGAUGGCGAAGGCAGCCCCCUGGGUCAAGACUGACGCUCAUGCACGAAAGCGUGGGGAGCAAACAGG